rnacentral:rRNA from 7 species
AGAACGUAGCGAAAUGCGAUACUUGGUGUGAAUUGCAGAAUCCCGUGAACCAUCGAGUCUUUGAACGCAAGUUGCGCCCGAAGCCAUUAGGUUGAGGGCACGCCUGCCUGGGUGUCA